rnacentral:rRNA from 1 species
GAUGGACGCUGGCGGCGUGCCUAAUACAUGCAAGUCGAGCGAACAGACGAGGAGCUUGCUCCUCUGACGUUAGCGGCGGACGGGUGAGUAACACGUGGAUAACCUACCUAUAAGACUGGGAUAACUUCGGGAAACCGGAGCUAAUACCGGAUAAUAUAUUGAACCGCAUGGUUCAAUAGUGAAAGACGGUUUUGCUGUCACUUAUAGAUGGAUCCGCGCCGCAUUAGCUAGAUGGUAAGGUAACGGCUUACCAAGGCAACGAUGCGUAGCCGACCUGAGAGGGUGAUCGGCCACACUGGAACUGAGACACGGUCCAGACUCCUACGGGAGGCAGCAGUAGGGAAUCUUCCGCAAUGGGCGAAAGCCUGACGGAGCAACGCCGCGUGAGUGAUGAAGGUCUUCGGAUCGUAAAACUCUGUUAUUAGGGAAGAACAAAAGUGUAAGUAACUAUGCACGUCUUGACGGUACCUAAUCAGAAAGCCACGGCUAACUACGUG